AGCUGGUUCUCCAGGUCUCAUCGGUCGCCUCGACCCUGCUAUUGGUAAGCUCUCUGAUUUGACUGAGUUCUCUGUUGUACCAGGCCGGAUCAUUGGUUCACUGCCACAAUCCCUCUCCCAAUUGAAGGACCUCCGCUUUCUCGCCGUCAGCAGAAACUUCCUCUCUAGUGGGAUUCCGGCAACUCUAGGCAUGCUGCGCAAUCUCAGAACCCUUGAUCUCAGCUACAAUCAGCUCACCGGAGAGAUUCCUAACUCAAUCGGUACCAUACCGGAACUGGCAAAUGUCAUUCUGUGCCAUAACCGCCUCUCUGGAUGGGUCCCUCCAUUUCUCUCGCAGUCACUGACUCGGCUCGAUUUGAAACAUAACGAUCUCACUGGUUCGCUCGGACCAUCUUCUCUCCCUCCGUCGCUUCAUUAUCUUUCUCUUUCAUGGAAUCGGCUCAGCGGACCCGUGGACCGGAUACUGAACCGGCUAGACCAGCUAAACUACUUGGACCUAAGCAUGAACCAGUUCAGUGGUGGCAUUCCGGGCCGGAUCUUCACGUUUCCAAUAACCAACCUUCAAUUGCAGAGAAAUCUAUUCACCGGUCCGCUUCAACCGCCCAAUCAGGUUACAAUAGAGACUGUUGAUCUUAGCUACAACAGAUUAUGGGGUGAAAUCUCACCCAUGUUCUCUACCGUACAGAAUUUGUACCUGAACAAUAAUCGGUUUACGGGUCAAGUACCUGGAAGUUUCGUGGACCGUUUGUUGGCCGCGAGUAUACAGAUAUUGUACUUGCAGCACAAUUAUCUAACAGGGAUUGAUAUUAAUCCAGCGGCUCAGAUUCCAUCAAGCAGCUCGUUGUGUUUGCAGUAUAAUUGUAUGGUCCCGCCCGUACAGACGCCGUGCCCUUUGAAGGCCGGGAAGCAGAAGACUAGACCAACAGAACAGUGCAACGAGUGGAAAGGGUAAAGUUGGAAUUUCACAGGCUUUAAAUGAGGGCAAAAAUGGGAGUACGUUCAUUUUUUUGGGGGGGGUUUUGGGUUGUUUUCCUUAUUCAUUGAUUUAAUAUAUAUUUUUUUUAAUGCAAUCUUAAUCAAGGUGAAUGAUAAAUAAGGAAUAUUUGUGGAUAAUGUGAUGAGAAAUUGUAUUUAUUUGUGGGAUUCAAUUGAGAAUUCAAUGUUGCUAUUAAGUAAUAUAUAUAUAUAUAUAAGAUUUUUUUUGGGCAAAAAA
rnacentral:misc_RNA from 1 species